UUGGCGCCUCACUGUGUGCCUUGCAGCAAUGAAAUUGCUGUCCACAGCACAGUCAUGUGGUCCACAACAGGGUGGCUGUUACUGAUCACAAGAGGAGCCACAAGGGGGUGGCCAUUGACCGUGAGAUCCAUCCCAAGAUGGCGGCACCCUUUCACAUGGCAGAGGGCCGCAACAUGAUGACGGUCCCUGGCACAAGCUGCAACAGUCACGCGGCUUGCCGGAAAGAUAUAGUGACCGAGACCUAGUAUGGUGGACUGGAGAACUGCUGACCAUAGGGAUUUCCUCGGUGCUGCGUCCCCAAAAGAGCUACCUCCUGGACACCCUACAAUCUCUCUUCUUUGCUUCUUCCUCAACUGAGCAGAAACACUUCAUCGUUCUGGUACACCUGGCAAGUCCCAACCCCAAGUGGCUCAGUCAAAUAACCUCCAACAUCUCAACCCUCUUUAAACCACAUAUCCAGGCCAGAAAGCUAGUAGUGAUCAACACAUCUGGCAAAAGCUACCUUCCUCUGAAGAACCUCAGGAAAAGGUUUAGUGACAGCCCUGCCUUUGUAGCUUAUAGCUCCAAGCAGAACAUGGAUUAUGCCUUCCUCAUGAACUUUGCUACCAACUACUCUGACUACUUCCUGAUGAUUGAAGAUGAUGUGAAAUGUGUCCCUGGAUUUUUCACCCAGAUUGCUAAUAUAUUGUCUGCCUGGGAAAGAAAGUUUUGGGUGACUCUGGAGUUCUGUCCACAAGGCUUCGUUGGAAAACUCUUUCAUGCUAGCGACCUCCCCUACUUUGUUCAUUUCCUUCUCCUCUUUUACCAAGAAAUGCCUUGCGAUGACCUCCUUUCCCAUUUUCUUAAUCUUCUCAGGCAGCAAAAACGAAUCCAAUUCUCCCCCUCCCUCUUCCAGCAUAUAGGCAAUUCCUCCUUGAAAAGCAAAUUGAGUGGCCUCAAAGAAGCGGAGGAAAACUAUAUCAGCUGUCCCAGCAAUCCUGCUGCCACCCUUUAUACUAACCUGAAAAUCACCAAUGACUCCAGUGACUCCAUUCUCAUGAAUGCCUACAGCUUGGAUAAAAAUUAUGUUUAUGUCAAGGAGGCAAAAGCUGGCAGCUAUCUGACUGUGCUUUUGCACAGACCUGCCACAGUUUUUCAUGUUCAAGUACUCACAGGCUCUGAAUCAGAACAGGAGAAUCAUUUGGAAGAGGGACAAGUGGAAAUAGGAUAUGAUUCCACCAACAGAGUCACUGAGUGUGAUGACUAUAUUCUCCUGGGGAUGCUAGUAAAUGGCACCCUGAAUAAGCAUGUGUUAUCUGAAGACUCAGGGAAGAAGGUAAAAUGUGUAAGGCUGCUUGUAACAGCCACUCAGACCUCUGGAUUAAUAGUGAGGCACAUCAACCUCUGGGUGAAAUAAAGUUUAAGUAGGAUAAAGAGAAGCCAUUAGAAAUUCUAGAUUGGAGGUAGAGUCAACAGAGUUAACAAAGCAUUAAGCUCUUAAAGUUGUGAGUAAAAUUUCUUUCCUGGGCCUUUUCAGGAUUCUUAAUACAUUACAUUGAAAGGCAGAGUGAAGGUAACAUCCUCUUGGUCCCAGAGACUUAGGAGUGCGAAGAGGAAGCUUGUUUAAUUUUUUUUUAAUAUUCUAUCCCAAUGUGUCUACCAUUCAAAAUUUUUUCCUUGGAGCAAGAAUGCCAGAUUUCUAAAAAUAACAAGGAUAUGUGAGUGAGACUAACUGAUGCUGAGAUCAUGAGUUCAAUAACACAUGAGAGAAAAUUAAGCAAAGAAAUGGAGUCAUUAGAGGCUGGACUUCCUACAUGAAAGGAGAAAGUAAAUU